rnacentral:rRNA from 1 species
AGGGCGCACGGUGGAUGCCUUGGCACUAGAAGCCGAAGAAGGACGUGACUAACGACGAAAUGCCUUGGGGAGCUGUAAGUAAGCAAUGAUCCAGGGGUGUCCGAAUGGGGGAACCCGGCAGGUAAAGCCUGUCACUCACUACUGUUAAGGUAGUGAAGAGGAAGACGCAGUGAACUGAAACAUCUAAGUAGCUGCAGGAAGAGAAAGCAAAAGCGAUUGCCUUAGUAGCGGCGAGCGAAACGGCAGGAGGGCAAACCGAGGAGUUUACUCCUCGGGGUUGUAGGACUGCAAAGUGGACUUAAAGAGUAUAGAAGAACUACCUGGGAAGGUAGGCCAAAGAGAGUAACAGCCUCGUAUUUGAAAUAGUCUUUAUACCUAGCAGUAUCCUGAGUACGGCGAGACACGCGAAAUCUCGUCGGAAUCUGGGAGGACCAUCUCCCAACCCUAAAUACUCUCUAGUGACCGAUAGUGAACCAGUACCGUGAGGGAAAGGUGAAAAGAACCCCGGAAGGGGAGUGAAAUAGAACCUGAAACCGUGUGCCUACAACAAGUUCGAGCCCGUUAAUGGGUGAGAGCGUGCCUUUUGUAGAAUGAACCGGCGAGUUACGAUAUGAUGCGAGGUUAAGUUGAAGAGACGGAGCCGUAGGGAAACCGAGUCUUAAUAGGGCGGAUUAGUAUUAUGUCGUAGACCCGAAACCAUGUGACCUACCCAUGAGCAGGUUGAAGGUGCGGUAAGACGCACUGGAGGACCGAACCAGGGCACGUUGAAAAGUGCUUGGAUGACUUGUGGGUAGCGGAGAAAUUCCAAACGAACUUGGAGAUAGCUGGUUCUCUCCGAAAUAGCUUUAGGGCUAGCGUCGACAUUGAGAAUCUUGGAGGUAGAGCACUGUUUGGAUGAGGGGGCCAUCUCGGUUUACUGAUUUCAGAUAAACUCCGAAUGCCAAAGAUUUAUGGUCGGCAGUCAGACUGCGAGUGCUAAGAUCCGUAGUCGAAAGGGAAACAGCCCAGACCACCAGCUAAGGUCCCAAAAUAAUUGUUAAGUGGAAAAGGAUGUGGGGUUGCACAGACAACUAGGAUGUUAGCUUAGAAGCAGCUAUUCAUUCAAAGAGUGCGUAAUAGCUCACUAGUCGAGUGACCCUGCGCCGAAAAUGUACCGGGGCUAAAACAAUUUACCGAAGCUGUGGAUAACACGAAAGUGUUAUGGUAGGAGAGCGUUCUAUGUGUGAAGAAGGUAUACCGUGAGGAGUGCUGGAACGCAUAGAAGUGAGAAUGCCGGUAUGAGUAGCGCAAGAUGGGUGAGAAUCCCAUCCACCGUAAGACUAAGGUUUCCAGGGGAAGGCUCGUCCGCCCUGGGUUAGUCGGGACCUAAGGAGAGACCGAAAGGUGUAUCCGAUGGACAACAGGUUGAUAUUCCUGUACUAGUGUAUAUAGUGAUGGAGGGACGCAGUAGGCUAACUAAAGCGGGCGAAUGGAAGAGCCCGUCUAAGCAGUGAGGUGUGAUAUGAGUCAAAUGCUUGUAUCUGUAACAUUGAGCUGUGAUGGGGAGCGAAAUUAAGUAGCGAAGUUAGUGACGUCACACUGCCAAGAAAAGCUUCUAGCGAUAAGUAUACACUACCCGUACCGCAAACCGACACAGGUAGUCGAGGCGAGUAGCCUCAGGUGAGCGAGAGAACUCUCGUUAAGGAACUCGGCAAAAUGACCCCGUAACUUCGGGAGAAGGGGUGCUGACUUUUAGUCAGCCGCAGUGAAUAGGCCCAAGCAACUGUUUAUCAAAAACACAGCUCUCUGCUAAAUCGUAAGAUGAUGUAUAGGGGGUGACGCCUGCCCGGUGCUGGAAGGUUAAGAGGAGGGUUUAGCGUAAGCGAAGAUCUGAAUUGAAGCCCCAGUAAACGGCGGCCGUAACUAUAACGGUCCUAAGGUAGCGAAAUUCCUUGUCGGGUAAGUUCCGACCCGCACGAAAGGCGUAAUGAUUUGGGCACUGUCUCAACGAGAGACUCGGUGAAAUUUUAGUACCUGUGAAGAUGCAGGUUACCCGCGACAGGACGGAAAGACCCCAUGGAGCUUUACUGCAGUUUGAUAUUGAGUAUCUGUACCACAUGUACAGGAUAGGUAGGAGCCUAUGAAAUCGGGACGCCAGUUUCGAUUGAGGCGCUGUUGGGAUACUACCCUUGUGUUAUGGCUACUCUAACCCGGUAGGUUCAUCAUCUACGGAGACAGUGUCUGACGGGCAGUUUGACUGGGGCGGUCGCCUCCUAAAAGGUAACGGAGGCGCCCAAAGGUU